GAAGAGAUGGUUCAGGCCCCGCCUGCAAACCACAACUUUGUUUUGAGCCAGCUUGACUUGACAGCUUCCCUGUUGUACCUGCUGGCUUCUUAGCUGUGCUUUGGCAGCCAGGAGAGCAACUAAACCGGUUUACAGCGAGCCAUUCAUCACCCGUAAGGCUGAACGACUCCCAGGAAAAUGAGGAAUUAAGUGGAGUUGAUCUUUCUCUCUCUCUUCCUUAAGUUUUCCAUUGUACGUCUCGGACUGUAGAAAACCCACGUUCUGCUUUGGCAGGAGAAACCUGAUGAUACAUUUAAGGCUUGUUGUGAAACACUUGGGUCUUUGUACACAUGUUCAUUUUCUCCCUUAAUGAGCACCAAGGCUUUGCUUCCCCAUUUUGGGUGGAAAUCCACAAAGGCAUGUACCUGUUUCUGGUUCUUCCUUGAGAACACGUGAAACGCGAACCGAGUCGGGCUGGAUCCUCAGGGCGAACGCCGGGCUUGGCGUGAAGCGUGUCCGCUGGGACGUGUGCGGCACCAGUACACGGGCCACGUUUAGCUCUUUCCCAACCCCCGUGUUUGCUCUUCUGGUUUUGUUUUUGCUUCUCUUUCUCCCUGUCGCUACCGACGUGCUUUCUUUGUGCUUCGUUGCUUCUCAUACACCAUGAGCGGCAGAACCAGAUCGUCAAGCGUGUUAAGAAGGAGCGGGCUCUGCACGUGAGGCUAAGAGUAACGGGCCGUUCAUCUGAGAGCCUGAGCUUCGUGGCUGGGGUGUCCCAGGGGCAAGAAAGAAACAUGUUGCUCGCUUCUCGGUCCAGGUUGUAAUCCGGAGAGAGGCAGGAUUCCUGGUGAGUUUUGGGUAGGGGUUUAAUCUUCUCAAGUCUUAGGGAGUCAAAAACCCUAUCAAAGAUGCAGUUAGAGAUACAAGGCGCAUUUGGCGUUUGGGUUGGACUGUUAUGGAUUAAUAAGUAAGUAACGCCCUAUAUCUGGCUCUUAGUUAAAUUUGAUCAUCUCUGGGCAUGUCACUUUUUCCACUGAUUUUUUUUUUUUUUUGUAGUGGGGAUACCUUUUUUUGCCUUGUUGAUUUGUUAUGAAGAGAGACAAAACACUUGUAAGAUGUUUGAGCAUCUGUAUUCAUAGAAAUCAUUACCUUAACGUCUUUGGGUCGUGCCAGUGAGACUGAGUGUGACGGGAUAACCUGUAGACCCGAUUCGCAGGAGUCGUCACUCACAUUGUCUCCGCAGGUAGGCUUGUGUUUGGCACUUGGAGCUCACAUCCAAUAGAAGGGCAGACUCCCCUAAGUCUGUUGUCUCCUCACCAUUGAAAUAUGUGGGCGUUCCCGCUGUGGCGUCAUGGGUUAAUGUUCCAGCUUGUCUCUGGAGGUGCCGGUUCGAUCCCUGGCCUGGCUCAGUGGGGUAAGGAUCUGGCAUUGCCGCAGCUGUGGCUCAGGUUCAGUCCCUGGCCAGGGAACAUCCAUAUGCCGUGGGUACAGCCAAAAAAAAGAAAAAAGAAAUUAAAAUAUGUAGAAAGUAGCCUACAGCAUUCUGUUGUCCCUGCCAUGCACCAUUUUUGCUGUGGAUGAAAAUGAAUAAGCAACUCUGGGAACCAGGGUCCUGUGGGAACAUAAAAACUCUUGUGGCUAUUAAUGGAUUUAAUUGUAUUUCCUCUCUGCCACCAAGAUGUGCAAUAAAUUGUUUAUGCCCUUAUCUUUAAUGGGGAGAAUUAUUCAUUAACUGUAUAUAAUAUCAUUAUCGAUUUGUUUUUAUUACUUGUAGCUAAUCUCUUCUAUCUUUCCCUUUUUAAAAAAAAUUAUAAAAAGGAAGAGUUAUAACAUUAUUAAACAUGGCCCAUUAUUAAUCCUCCUGGGUGACUUUUCUCUCCAAGGAGAGAAAGGAAAGUAUCAUCUCAUUGGGGCAACAAAAGCUCGGGUUGAAAAUGGGACGUGAUCGAGACUGAGAUUUGGCCUGGGAUUGGUUCCGUGUGCUCUGGUCUGGGCCGGGGCUGUGUGUACUUACGUCCCCGCGAGAGACUGGUUCUCAGGCAGCUUCGCGGAUGAGUGAGUACCGCGUCUCUGUGUGGCGGAGGAUUCGAGUCCACUUAAGAGAUCGUUUUCUAGAAAAAAUACUGUGUGGGGAGCAUGGCUCUAUUGGCGUUUUGUUUUGCUUUGCUUUGUUUUGUUUGAUGCUCACUCGGGUAUUUCCUCCUAUUCUUACCAUGUAUCUGGAGGGAAAAAAAAUAUCAGCAAGUUGCCAUAAUCUCUUCAAAACCAUGUGCCAGCAGUGCUUUGGCUCUAGAGUCUGGUUCCUCAUCUGGUGUUUCCUCACCGUGUGGGUUCGGAUCCGUCUCUGACUCUUUGCCUAAUAGCAACUGCCUGUAGGUGCCUCAUGCGCCUCGUCACCGUUCGAGUCGCCGAGGAGAGAGCGCUUAACGGCACUGCCCGAACCCAGCUCUCCCGAAGGUUAUCUUCAGGGGCAGGGCGGGGACCAAGGAAGGAGCAGGUGUUAGGCUGUGUGGACGGGCAAUGAAAGUGGGAAGGUGGGGUGAGCGAGGCAGAGGGUCAGAGUUUUCACAACGGUGCUUUGGAAGCCCCCUGAGAGGUGAGCCAAGGUGCGCGGCUCGCUCUUAGGCCACCUGCAGAGGGCACGGUAAGUACCGUUAAGGGCGGGGGGCCGCCACGAGGCCGGUGGGCUGGAGCCGAGCAAACGAGGUGGCGGGUCUUGGGGGCGAAAAUCAGAGAAGCGAAGGGACCCGGCUCUCGUGGGACUGGCUGUGAUCUUGAGUGAGACGGGAAGCUCUUGGGGAUUUUGAGCCAGAGGAGAGGCGUGCUUACGACUUACACAGCGACAUAACCACCUGCCCCUGCGUGUCGAGUAGCCCACGCAGACGGACAGUAGCCCAUAAAGCAGGACGCCAGUCAGGAGUAUGAAGGUGACCUACUGGGAGCUGAUGGUGGCUGCGGCCAGGGUGGUAGGGGUGGAGAAGAGAAGUCAUCGGCUUCUGGGUAUGGUAUUUUCAGACCUAAAGGAUUUGCUUAUUAGGAGUUCCCUGGUGGUUCAGCCAGUUAAGGAUCAGGCAUUGUCAUCAUUAGUAUCAUCUCUUUAUCUUAAGUGACAUUACCUGGGAGAGAGGAAACAGAAUUCUUCAAAGCUCUUGAGGAAGUUUGUUUCUCCUUUUGCCAUUUGUAAUUAAUCGGGAAUAAAUUUCCUUGGGAAUUUACUUCCUGCGGGAUGGAGUAACCCACAGGUUGGUAACUGCUUGUGUUAAAAGUCUAGAUAAAUUCUUUUUAUUGAUGUAGGCCGUGGUGAAGCCAUUGGAGCCGUGGGGUCUCAACAUCCCUCAUUAUCCUGCUGUCAU
rnacentral:lncRNA from 1 species